CAGGUCUUGACAUCCUCUGACAAUCCUAGAGAUAGGAUGUUCCCCUUCGGGGGACAGAGUGACAGGUGGUGCAUGGUUGUCGUCAGCUCGUGUCGUGAGAUGUUGGGUUAAGUCCCGCAACGAGCGCAACCCUUAUUCUUAGUUGCCAGCAUUAGGUUGGGCACUCUAAGGAGACUGCCGGUGACAAACCGGAGGAAGGUGGGGAUGACGUCAAAUCAUCAUGCCCCUUAUGACCUGGGCUACACACGUGCUACAAUGGAUGGUACAAAGGGUUGCGAGACCGCGAGGUUUAGCCAAUCCCAUAAAACCAUUCUCAGUUCGGAUUGUAGGCUGCAACUCGCCUACAUGAAGCCGGAAUCGCUAGUAAUCGUGGAUCAGCAUGCCACGGUGAAUACGUUCCC
rnacentral:rRNA from 1 species